GACGAACGCUGGCGGCGUGCUUAACACAUGCAAGUCGAACGGAAAGGCCCUGCUUUUGUGGGGUGCUCGAGUGGCGAACGGGUGAGUAACACGUGAGUAACCUGCCCUUGACUUUGGGAUAACUUCAGGAAACUGGGGCUAAUACCGGAUAGGAGCUCCUGCUGCAUGGUGGGGGUUGGAAAGUUUCGGCGGUUGGGGAUGGACUCGCGGCUUAUCAGCUUGUUGGUGGGGUAGUGGCUUACCAAGGCUUUGACGGGUAGCCGGCCUGAGAGGGUGACCGGCCCAAUGGGGCUUGGGAGCCGGCCAGAGCCCCGAGGGGGGGCAGGGGGGGGGAAUUUGGCAAAAGGGGGGGAGGCCGGUGGCAGCAGCCCCGCGGGGGGAGUGACGGCCUUCGGGUGGUAAACCGCUUUGCCCGGUAGGGAGGGGGGGGGAAGGGAAAUGGGUAAAGAAGCACCGGCUAACAACGG
rnacentral:rRNA from 1 species